rnacentral:ncRNA from 1 species
CGUAUCAUUGUGCCUCGCGCGCGGCCGGCAACGGCGGCGGCGCGGGGCGAUAAGUCCGAAAGAGGGAUGAUAUGAC